AGUGAACGCUGGCGGUAGGCCUAACACAUGCAAGUCGAACGGCAGCACAGUAAGAGCUUGCUCUUACGGGUGGCGAGUGGCGGACGGGUGAGGAAUACAUCGGAAUCUACUUUUUCGUGGGGGAUAACGUAGGGAAACUUACGCUAAUACCGCAUACGACCUACGGGUGAAAGCAGGGGAUCUUCGGACCUUGCGCGAUUGAAUGAGCCGAUGUCGGAUUAGCUAGUUGGCGGGGUAAAGGCCCACCAAGGCGACGAUCCGUAGCUGGUCUGAGCGGAUGAUCAGCCAAACUGGAACUGAGACACGGUCCAGACUCCUACGGGAGGCAGCAGUGGGGAAUAUUGGACAAUGGGCGCAAGCCUGAUCCAGCCAUACCGCGUGGGUGAAGAAGGCCUUCGGGUUGUAAAGCCCUUUUGUUGGGAAAGAAAAGCAGCAGGUUAAUACCCCGCUGUUCUGACGGUACCCAAAGAAUAAGCACCGGCUAACUUCGUG
rnacentral:rRNA from 1 species